rnacentral:lncRNA from 10 species
AGAGGAGGCUGCUGGGAAGACAGGACACGUGGAGGGAGCUGGAACUCCUGGAGCCGGGCACCGUCUGCGCGCUGGACGCCGGGCCCAGGGGACUGGGUGGAGUCUCUGGGGGAGUAGCCGGCUGUCUAAAUAAUGCUGCCUCUCUUUGGUGUGACUGGUUAUACUUUGUCUUCUUCAUACGGAGUGGUUCCGUUUUGCGCCUAGGGGCGUAACCCGCCCGGGAGGGAAUCUGGCUGCGGCGGACCAGGGGGCGCGGCUCGGGAUGCCUGCGCGAACCCUCGGGGGCUGGUGGGGAGGUGUCAGUGGCAGGUGUUUCGUGGUGCUACCGGACAGGCAGAAUGACCGACCUCGCCGGGCGACCGCUCCCAGCCGCGAGAAUCCUGUAUUCGUUUAUCUGGGAGUGACCAUCCUCGCUACUCAGCUACUCACUGUUCCUUUCCUGCUGAGUUGGGGAGACAGAUAUAAGCAGACCAUUAUGUGAUAAGAGCUGAUGGGCUAUUGGGGAGACAGACGGCCACUUUUGAGUGAGUUAAUUAACUGGAUACUAGAAGUUAAAGCUAAUUGAUGAUUACAACAGACAGUUCUUGGGUGCCUGCUAUGAACAGAGCACUCUAGGGCAACCCCGGCUACAAGUUAAAAUCAUCCUAGGAGCUUAAAAAAGUUCCCAUCCCCAGGCCACACCCCAAACCAAUUAAGCCAGAACCUCUGAAGGGGAGAUCCAGACUGAAGGAUUUUUUUUUCCAGACUGAAGGAUUUUUUAAAGCUCUUCCAGUAAUUCCAG